ACUUGACAUGAUAUUUUGUACUAGGAAACUAAAUCCUCUCCAAGAUACAGAACAGCACGUGAAGUUGGACAAAGAUAAAGACAUACAUGGAGAAAUAUCAAUCACACCAAAGGGUGAGGUGUAUUUACAAAAGGCUUUAUUUUGAAAGGUUCAUUCUUGAAUCCAGAGGAAUCUUGUAUAAGCCCAUGGCUCCAGCUACAGUCCAGGACCAAGUCGUCUCUCCCACUGCCCCUCCUGAAGAGUGAAUAACAGAGGUAAAUGCACAUCUGCAAGAACACCAUGGACGAAAGCUGAGGUCAACGCUGUGAUGUGACGCUUCAAAUCUCAUAUCAUGAAAGGUCACUUGGCAUGUAAGAGGGAAUGUGAGGUGUGCAAAAAGUGUGAGCAUCCAGCUCUACAAAACAGGACAUGCCAAAAUAUCAGAGAUUUUGUUCGAACCAUUUAAACGUCAGUUGAACUCAAUUGAUUUUGGAUUUUAACUAAAAACUGUG